AUCCAGUUGACAAGUCCCAAAUAGGAUGAAAUACACAUCCUGGAU
rfam:Schistosoma haematobium scaffold547_7, whole genome shotgun sequence.